UACAGAGGGUGCGAGCGUUGUUCGGAAUUACUGGGCGUAAAGCGCGCGCAGGCGGCCUUUUAAGUCUGACGGUGAAAUGCCGGAGCUCAACCCCGUGCCCGCCGGAGAUACUGGGAGGCUGGAGACGAGUAGAGGCAAGCGGAAUUCCGGGUGUAGCGGUGGAAUGCGUAGAGAUCCGGAAGAACACCGGAGGCGAAGGCGGCUUGCUGGGCUCGGUCUGACGCUGAUGCGCGAAAGCGUGGGGAGCGAACAGG
rnacentral:rRNA from 1 species